CUGGCGGCGUGCUUAACACAUGCAAGUCGAACGGAAAGGCCCUUUCGGGGGUACUCGAGUGGCGAACGGGUGAGUAACACGUGGGUGAUCUGCCCUGCACUCUGGGAUAAGCCUGGGAAACUGGGUCUAAUACCGGAUAGGACCAUGGGAUGCAUGUUCUGUGGUGGAAAGCUUUUGCGGUGUGGGAUGGGCCCGCGGCCUAUCAGCUUGUUGGUGGGGUGAUGGCCUACCAAGGCGACGACGGGUAGCCGGCCUGAGAGGGUGUCCGGCCACACUGGGACUGAGAUACGGCCCAGACUCCUACGGGAGGCAGCAGUGGGGAAUAUUGCACAAUGGGCGCAAGCCUGAUGCAGCGACGCCGCGUGGGGGAUGACGGCCUUCGGGUUGUAAACCUCUUUCAGUAUCGGCGAAGCUUGCGGGUUUUCUCGCAGGUGACGGUAGGUACAGAAGAAGCACCGGCCAACUACGUGCCAGCAGCCGCGGUAAUACA
rnacentral:rRNA from 1 species